UUAAACCACCGGUUCUUGUACGGUCACCGAAGUUAAGCAACGUUAAGCCUGCUCAGUAACUAGAUGGGUGACAGAUUGGGAAUACCAGGUGCUGUAAG